UAUUCAUGUAGCUUUUCAAAUUCAGCUGUGCAAGUGGUUUUCAUCACGAGGUGGAACUUCCAGAAAGGUGUGAAUCAACCAAGAGAAUGAACUAUCUUGGGAGAAGAAAAGAUGAAGCAGUGACAGAUCUCCUCUGAUGAGGAAGGGAACAGUGAAGAUCCUGAAAUGGGCCAGGAGGUCACUCAUAGACACGAAGAAUCCAGAUCCUUUAACCAUGGAAAUGAAAUAAGUCUCUAAUUGCCUGAGAGCCCCACUCUCCUUUAAAACCAGAACUGCUACUGAACGCCAAGGAAUUGGAAAGUGACAAAAAAAAAAAAGCUCAGACGCAGUCAAGUUAUACUCCUUCAAAGGAAAAAGUUCGGGUAAAAUCUAUAGCUCUCUGGAUGAUGAAAGGAAAAGACAUGAAGACAAAGAAAAUAAAGACACUGUUGCUCAGGAGUGGAUUAGAUCUGUGGCAGAAACUCAUGCAUCUUCACCCAGCUAUCUUUGUAAUGCAACAUUGGUUCCAGAGCCCAUUAAUGGAAUGCCUCAGCAUUUGGAUGGCCUUUUCUGUAAGGAUCACUGAUUUUACAUAGUAAGUGGUUCACAUAUGGAAUGAUAAAAUGAUAAUCUUGGCAAAGUAUUUGAAUGUUCUAGGAACU